AACGCAGCGAAAUGCGAUAAGUAAUGUGAAUUGCAGAAUUCAGUGAAUCAUCGAAUCUUUGAACGCACAUUGCGCCCGGCAGCAAUCUGCCGGGCAUGCCUGUCCGAGCGUCAUUUCUGCCCUCGAGCGCGGUUGCCCUUCGGGGCGCCGCCGCCCGGUGUUGGGGCUCUGCGGCAACGCAGGCCCCGAAAUGAAGUGGCGGUCCCGCCGCGGCGCCCCCUGCGUAGUAUAAUGCCUCGCAUCGGGUCCCGGCGUCGGCCAGCCGUCGAACCUCUCUCUUGAUGGUUUGACCU
rnacentral:misc_RNA from 1 species